rnacentral:rRNA from 1 species
GUUGUAUGGUUAAGUGACUAAGCGUACACGGUGGAUGCCUUGGCAGUUGGAGGCGAUGAAGGACGUAUUAACUUGCGAUAAGCCUAGUCAAGCUAGUAAAAAGCGCUUGAGACUAGGAUUUCCGAAUGGGGAAACCCACCUGCUUGCAGGUAUCGUUAACUGAAUACAUAGGUUAACGAGGCGAACGCGGAGAACUGAAACAUCUAAGUACCCGUAGGAAAAGAAAUCAACCGAGAUUCCGAUAGUAGCGGCGAGCGAAAUCGGAACAGCCCUUAAGCUUAUUAUGUGUUAAUGGAAGGCUCUGGAAAGUGCCACGAUACAGGGUGAUAGUCCCGUACAUGAAAAGACAUUUUAAGUGAAAUCGAGUAGGUCGGAGCACGUGAAACUUUGACUGAAUAUAGGUGGACCAUCAUCUAAGGCUAAAUACUCCCAACUGACCGAUAGUGAACCAGUACCGUGAGGGAAAGGCGAAAAGAACCCCUGUGAGGGGAGUGAAAUAGAACCUGAAACCGUGUACGUACAAGCAGUAGGAGCCUACUUGUUAGGUGACUGCGUACCUUUUGUAUAAUGGGUCAGCGACUUAUAUUUUGUAGCGAGGUUAACCGUUUAGGGUAGCCGUAGGGAAACCGAGUCUUAACUGGGCGAAUAGUUGCAAGGUAUAGACCCGAAACCCGGUGAUCUAGCCAUGGGCAGGUUGAAGGUUGAGUAACAUCAACUGGAGGACCGAACCCACUAACGUUGAAAAGUUAGGGGAUGACCUGUGGCUAGGAGUGAAAGGCUAAUCAAACCGGGAGAUAGCUGGUUCUCCCCGAAAUCUAUUUAGGUAGAGCCUCGGACGAAUACUUACGGGGGUAGAGCACUGUUAAGGCUAGGGGGUCAUCCCGACUUACCAACCCUUUGCAAACUCCGAAUACCGUAAAGUAAUAUCCGGGAGACACACGGCGGGUGCUAACGUCCGUCGUGAAGAGGGAAACAACCCAGACCGCCAGCUAAGGUCCCAAAGUCAUAGUUAAGUGGGAAACGAUGUGGAAAGGCCCAGACAGCCAGGAGGUUGGCUUAGAAGCAGCCAUCCUUUAAAGAAAGCGUAAUAGCUCACUGGUCGAGUCGGUCUGCGCGGAAGAUGUAACGGGGCUAAACUAUGCACCGAAGCUGCGGAUUCAUCUUAGGAUGAGUGGUAGGGGAGCGUUCUGUAAGCGGUUGAAGGUGUACCGGGAGGUAUGCUGGACGUAUCAGAAGUGCGAAUGCUGACAUGAGUAACGAUAAUGCGGGUGAAAAACCCGCACGCCGGAAGACCAAGGGUUCCUAUCCCAUGUUAAUCAGGGUAGGGUAAGUCGACCCCUAAGGCGAGGCCGAAAGGCGUAGUCGAUGGGAAACGGAUUAAUAUUUCCGUACUUGGUAUAAUUGCGAUGGGGGGACGGAGAAGGCUAAGCAAGCAUGGCGAUGGUUGUCCAUGUGAAAGUGAGUAGGCUAGUGACUUAGGUAAAUCCGGGUUGCUGUUAGGCUGAGACACGAGACGAGCACCCAAGGGUGUGAAGUUGCUGAUGCCAUACUUCCAGGAAAAGCCUCUAAGCUUCAGAUUAUACCGAAUCGUACCCCAAACCGACACAGGUGGUCAGGUAGAGAAUACUAAGGCGCUUGAGAGAACUCGGGUGAAGGAACUAGGCAAAAUCGUACCGUAACUUCGGGAGAAGGUACGCUCCUAUCUGUGAUGAGACUUGCUCUCUAAGCGGACGGGAGCCGCAGUGACCAGGUGGCUGGGACUGUUUAUUAAAAACACAGCACUGUGCAAAAUCGCAAGAUGACGUAUACGGUGUGACACCUGCCCGGUGCCGGAAGGUUAAUUGAUGGGGUUAGUUUUCGGACGAAGCUCUUGAUCGAAGCCCCGGUAAACGGCGGCCGUAACUAUAACGGUCCUAAGGUAGCGAAAUUCCUUGUCGGGUAAGUUCCGACCUGCACGAAUGGUGUAACCAUGGCCACGCUGUCUCCACCCGAGACUCAGUGAAAUUGAAAUCGCAGUGAAGAUGCUGUGUACCCGCGGCUAGACGGAAAGACCCCGUGAACCUUUACUACAGCUUGGCACUGAACAUUGAACCUACAUGUGUAGGAUAGGUGGGAGACUUUGAAGCAGCGACGCUAGUUGUUGUGGAGUCGUCCUUGAAAUACCACCCUUGUAGUUUUGAUGUUCUAACGUUGGCCCCUGAAUCGGGGUUACGGACAGUGCCUGGUGGGUAGUUUGACUGGGGCGGUCUCCUCCCAAAGAGUAACGGAGGAGCACGAAGGUUGGCUAAGUACGGUCGGACAUCGUACGGUUAGUGUAAUGGUAGAAGCCAGCUUAACUGCGAGACAGACACGUCGAGCAGGUACGAAAGUAGGUCAUAGUGAUCCGGUGGUUCUGAAUGGAAGGGCCAUCGCUCAACGGAUAAAAGGUACUCCGGGGAUAACAGGCUGAUACCGCCCAAGAGUUCAUAUCGACGGCGGUGUUUGGCACCUCGAUGUCGGCUCAUCACAUCCUGGGGCUGAAGUCGGUCCCAAGGGUAUGGCUGUUCGCCAUUUAAAGUGGUACGCGAGCUGGGUUUAGAACGUCGUGAGACAGUUCGGUCCCUAUCUGCCGUGGGCGUUUGAGAAUUGAGAGGGGUUGCUCCUAGUACGAGAGGACCGGAGUGAACGAACCGCUGGUGUUCGGGUUGUCAUGCCAAUGGCAUUGCCCGGUAGCUACGUUCGGAACUGAUAAGCGCUGAAAGCAUCUAAGCGCGAAGCAGGCCUCGAGAUGAUUUCUCACUAGACUUUUAAAGUCUCUGAAGGGCCGUUGAAGACUACAACGUUGAUAGGCAAGAUGUGGAAGUGGUGUGAGCCAUUAAGCUAACUUGUACUAAUUACCCGUGAGGCUUAACCAUACAACGCCAAACGCGUUUUG